rnacentral:rRNA from 1 species
CGCACGGGUGAGUAACACGUAAGUAAUCUACCCUCGAGUGGGGAAUAACGUCCGGAAACGGACGCUAAUACCGCAUAAUGCAGCGGCACCGCAAGGUGACAGUUGUUAAAGGAGAAAUUCGCUUGAGGAGGAGCUUGCGGCAGAUUAGCUUGUUGGUAAGGUAACGGCUUACCAAGGCUACGAUCCGUAACCGGUCUUAGAGGACGGUCGGUCACACUGACACUGAAUAACGGGUCAG